UGGCAGUGUGGUUAGCUGGUUGUGUUUUUUUGAUCACGACCACUAUCCAUACUCCCUCC
rnacentral:pre_miRNA from 1 species